GAGGGUAGGAGUGAAAGGCCAAUCAAACUUGGAGAUAGCUCGUACUCCCCGAAAUGCAUUUAGGUGCAGCCUCGGGCGUUCCCUGUGUGAGGUAGAGCGACUGAUUGGAUGCGAGGGCUUCACCGCCUAUCAAGUCCAGACAAACUCCGAAUGCACACAGGCUCAGCCCGGGAGUGAGGGCGUGGGUGCUAAGGUCCACGCCCGAGAGGAGAAGAAUCCUGAUCACCGGCUAAGGCCCCGAAAUCCGGGCUAAGUUAAACUAACGAAGUGUGGUCCCCGU
rnacentral:rRNA from 1 species